CAGCCGCCGCGGUAAUACGAAGGGGGCUAGCGUUGCUCGGAAUUACUGGGCGUAAAGGGAGCGUAGGCGGAUCGUUUAGUCAGGGGUGAAAUCCCAGGGCUCAACCUCGGAACUGCCUUUGAUACUGGCGAUCUUGAGUAUGGGAGAGGUGUGUGGAACUCCGAGUGUAGAGGUGAAAUUCGUAGAUAUUCGGAAGAACACCAGUGGCGAAGGCGACACACUGGCCCAUUACUGACGCUGAGGCUCGAAAGCGUGGGGAGCAAACAGGAUUAGAUACCCCAGUAGUCCCUGUCUCUUAUAC
rnacentral:rRNA from 1 species